GACAAUUUAUGUAACCAAAGCGUUUGUACCCCCAUAAUACUCCAAAAUUAAAGAAAAAGAAAAAUAGUCUUGCUUUGAUGAACAUUGCUACAAACCUAACAUACAUUGAAUUAUUGCUUUGUGCCUGGCACUGUUCUAGGUGUUUCACAUGCAUUGACUAAUUUAAUUUACAAUAUUCUUAAAAUAUUCUUAAAAGUUGACAUAUUAUCAUUCCCAUUUCAUAAAUGCAAAAUCUAGGGCCGUGAGUUUGAGUGACUUAAGGUCAGUUAGUGACAGUAAGUGUCAGAACUGCAAAGUCAGGUGAUAUGUUUCCAGAGUUGUUCACCUAACCAUUAUGAUACACUUCCUUUCUUGAUUUUAAGAGCUUCAAACACAAAUGCCAUUCUUUUUUUCCUCACAGAAAUGGAAACUGAAGCUUAGAUAGGUUUGAAUGAUUUCUUCAUCAUUACCCAAUCAAUAACACACCAAUAGAUAUCCAAAAUUAUUUGGAUACUUUUGCCUGAAAUUGGGAAAUUUCCAAUAUUAUAAAGGUUCCUAUUCUCCAUUCUAAGAGGAUUGCCACUUCUGGUGAGACUUCCUCAGAAAUGUUAUUCACAAUUACACUGAUGGGCCACAUUGUUUCUUCUUGCCAAUGUGAAUUGGCAAGAUGGUUGUUCCUAGUUUUUAUCAUCUGUGAUUGUAGAAUUGUUUUUCUCUAUGAAGACCUAAGUCACUUGUAUCUGCUAAAGAUCAGGUAUUUACAACUAACAUACUCAUUUUAAAAAUGGAAAAUAACACCAAAUGAAACACUACAUCCCUCCUUUAUGAUGAAUUUAGUCAUCAUUUUCAUUAGAGUACUAACAAUGUCUAUAUGUCUAUUGCUAUAAAGGAAUUUUAAAAAAGGUUAUUUAGACUAGAAAUAAAUAUAGUUCAUAACUAAGUGGAUGAUAGAAAAUUGAAUUUUUGGCCAGGAUUAUGACAUAUGAACUAACUUACCAAUUAGGGUUGACAUAACAAUGGGAUAAAUUUUCAGUUGAUGAUCUAAGUCCUGAGUUUCACACACCUCUAGAAGGAAGAACUGUAAUAUAAUGUACUUGAUGAAAUUAUUCAGUAUGAUACCAUCUUCACCCUCUAUUAAAUACAUAUGUUAUGAUACCAUAAUGACCCUCUAUUAAAUUUAAGGCAAGUAGGAAAUGAUACUUAAAAAGUUGCAAAAAUUGGGCUGAAUUUCACGAGAUUGUGCUUCUGUUACUUCCUUCUCAGAUGCAUAUUGGCUGACAGAAGAAUCAUACCUCAGGAUGAGAAGCAGCUCCGAGGGCCUCCUGAGAGUGGCCAGGAUGGAGUGCAGUGGCUAUUCAUGGGCACAAUCAUAAUGCAAUGCAGCCUCGAACUCCUGGCCUCAAGUGAUCUUCCUCAAGUGAUCAACCUCCCAAGUAAUUGAGACCACAGAUGGUGCCCUGUGAGACGGUGCACUUCGCCAUGACAGAUGCGUGUGGCUGGCCUCGGCAGCACGAUGCUGAAACUGGGACGAUACAGAGAAGAGCAACAUGUGCCCUGCACAAGGACGACAUGCAAAUUUGUGAAGUGUUCUCUGUUUUGAAGAAAAAUAAACAACUUUGUACAUUUGAAGAUGUCUUCCAACAGCUUUUUGUCUUCAGUGUCUUAAUGUGGAACUUCUCCUUUACCAAAAAAGGAAGUUGGCAAAAACAGCCUAGCAAAAAUACUUUUUUAAUAAAUAAUG